rnacentral:lncRNA from 1 species
AUGGCCGCCUCCGAAAGGGCGAUAAGAAGUUUUCUGCUUUCUGAGGGUCUUGGGGGACUGUCUGAUCUGUUAGAAGGCUACCAGCAGACCCUUGGGGUGGCAGAGACCCUGGCAUUCUUGUCCCGGGCGUGGACAAGAGGCCUGAGAGGGUCCAUGCUGGACUUGCAGUGUUUCCAUGAGCCAGGAGGCCUGUGACUGCUUGUGGGGUCGCAGGCGGCCACAUCCUGGUGGUCUGCCCUUCUGCCUUUGACCUGUCUGUCAGUAUGGCCUGUGCCUGGGUGUCUGGAGUGUGCUCUCUGCUCUUAUGGUUUGUGUUCUGCUCCGUCCUCUUGUCUUACACACUCUGGAAUCGUGGUUGCGCAGGACCCGAGUGUUGCUGGGCCUUUUAUUCUGGGGGUAGUGGGGCUUAGGAGAGAGCCAAAAUUUUAGCAAGCGUGUUUAUGUGGGUGUUGCCUGUCUGCUUUGGGGUGUAAGAACUUGCAUGAGUUCUCGGCAUGGGUGCGGACACGUAUUUGAUUGUCUUUUGCUUGUACUGAACUUUGACCUUGUUUGCAAAUUUUGUUUGUCCAGCUUGUGGCUGUCUCCUGUUAGCGUGGUUUGUUCUUAAACCUGUACAAGUGUCUCCGGGAGUGGGUUUUGAGUUGUUUGUGGGUAGGUAUAUGGACAAAGCUGAAGUGAAAGCUGGUGGCAGGAUCACAAGUACCUUUAUCUUUAGGGAGCAAAGCUCUUUGACUUUCCUGGUGCUGAGAAGUUAUUUAGAUUCUUUUGGGGGAACCCAGGUUUGUUGUUACCCAUGUUACAUUUGGCUCACAGUGUUCCUCUGCAAGUUAAGGAUCUUUGAUACUGGCUCUUGGGAACACCUGAGGCAGAAUGGAUUACUGUGAAUCUCAGGGUAUUAAGAUAAUAUAGUUGCUGAGCAUGUCAGCACCUGUCUUACCUGUCCAUACAGAAUUAGGUCUCUGUGUUACUGCCAGUGUGUACUCUUAGGUACAUUCUGUCUAUUUCCAUAAUCUGGAGUUAUCCACCCUGAGGUAUGAUUGCUUUUGCAAUAAGGUUUUGGGACCCCAAUACCAAUUUUUAGUUUUAAAGGGAAUCAUGUGACAAGACUUACAGGGAAAGGGUUAAAAGGUUGCAUUGUGAUUGGUAUUUUCUUACAUGUAAAACUGUUGCUUUGUUUUUGUAUAUUGUUUAAGAAUGCUUUGAUGUGUGUGGUGAGGAGGGUUUCUCUAAUUUUUUCAUCUUUACAGUUGCUUUCCUCCUGACCGCUUAAAUGUAAUAGAAAGAUCCGGCUAGAAUUGUAUGUGCAAUUCUGUUUCAAGUGACUUCAGUCUCCUAUCCAUAGACUCAGUGCUUGUUGGAUUGCUAGUCAGCUUCCUCCCCUUUGUCCUCCUCUGUUACUUAACUCACUUGCCCGUCGAGUGAAGAUUGAGAAAUGUCAUUUUAAAAUAAUCAAUACUGCCUGAAUGCACUAAUGCUGGCAAACUGAUGUCGUAUCUGGGAAGGCAGAAUGUCAAGAGUAGCUGGGUUUGCCGGGGCAUUCCAAACUAUCACAAGCACAGUGUUAAUUUGCUUUGAAAGAAGUUGCAGUUACCUGCAGCUUGCUAAAGAAUGCAUUAGGAAGCCUUCCGAAGGUGCUUUGGGAAGGGCAAGGUCCUGACUUCAGUAAAGCUGGGGAUGAAUUUAAUCUUUGUGUCUGGAUACUUACGUAAGUAGAUAACAUUUCCCUGUGAAGCAGUGAGGUUUUUAUACCCCAGAAUCCUGGCAUUUCGUCCCCAGGGCCUCUGUUAGGUACUUUCCACGGUGUGCAUUCCAGUUUUGGAACUGCUGGGAAAUGUUUUCUGUGUUAUUCACUAGUAGCAGGAUUAAUGGCUUCAGAAAAGAAAAUAUUGUAAGACCUACUUAUAUUUUCUGUUUAAAGUUCUUAAGGCUGUACACACUUGCUUGGAAUUAAAAGUUUCACAUGGCUUCACCAAAAUUUCUUUUAGUGUGAAAUAACACCAAAGAUUAAUAUAUUUAGUUACGUUUUUACCUGUGUGUGGAGGUGAGGUGGGGGUGGGUGUUCGUUUAGAGCAGAGUUAGGACGACCUGUGGAUGUUAGUUCUCUCCUUCCAUCAUAUGGGUCCCAGGGUUCAAACUCAGGUUAUCAGAAUUGGUAGCAAACAUCUUCACCCAAUGAACUAUCAGCGCCCUCAAAGGGUAAUUUUCCUAACCAAUAUCUUAUAAAUAUAAGCUUUAGAAAAGUCUACUGUUUUUUCAAAAAAGAAAUCCAGGAUCUGAAGAAAUAGCUUAGCAGCUAGGAACACUGGCUGCUCUCCCAGAAAACACGAGUACUUGAGUUUGGUUCUGAGCAUGACCAGUGGACAGCUUGUAACUCCAGCUCCAGGGAUCUGAUGUUUCUGGCCACUCCAGGAACCUGUCCUCAUGUGACACUGACAUGUGUACAUGCACACAUGUACAUUUUUAUGAUUUUUAAAAAGUAAAACCUUGCUGGGCAGUGGUGGGGCACGCCUUUAAUCCCAGCACUUGGGAGGCAGAGGCAGGCGGAUUUCUGAGUUCAAGACCAGCCUGGUCUAUAGAGUUUCAGAACAGCCAGAGCUAUACAGAGAAAUCCUGUCUCGAAAAACAAAACAACAAACAAACAAACUCAAACUUUUGAAGAUGACAAAUACUUAGUUUUUCCAUUUAUCACUAUAACCAAGAUGAAUGGGCAGUAGGAAGGGGCCUGGAGUCAAGCCUUUCUAAUGUCUUGUUUUCCUCUAUGCAAUGGUUUAGUUUCUGAGAAUAAGUAGUUUAUUCGUGUAUGUGGAUCAGUGAACAUUUUUAUGUGCAUAUGUGUGUACACAUAUUCAAAUGUGUGGGUUUACAUGUGUACGGAGGCCAGAAGUUGAUGUAAGAUGUCUUCCUCUACCUUAUAUACCAAGGUAGAAUCCCUAAUAUGAACCCCAGAACUCCCUGAUUUGGAUAGUCUAGCUAACCAACUUCCCUCAAAUCCUCCGUGUCUCUCCAGAGCACUGGAUUUACAGGCAGGUCACCUUGUAGAUUCUGUGGCCCUCAACCUGCAUAGCAAGCUCUGAACUAUCUACUCAGCCCAUCUAUGACUAUGAGUGUCAAAACUGCACAACAAGAUCAUUCAACACCCAUUUAGAACCUGACCUUUAGUUUUCAUUUAUAUUAUUUGAAAAAUAAUUGGUUAUUGCCAUUUGUAUAGCUACAUAUGGAUUCCUUAAGUUUAACAUAUUUGGCUUAAAAUCUCAGUACUCUUAUAAAUUUGUGUGUAUGUGUGUCUGUGUCUCUGUGUGUAGGUGUGUAUGUUUGUAUGUGUGUCUCAGUGUGUCUAGGUGUGUGUGUGUCUCUGUGUUUGUGUGUAUAUGUCUGUGUGUGUAUCUCUGUGUGUAUAUAUGGUGGUGGGCUUACAUGUGCCAUGUUGCAGAACGUGCAAGUCAGAGAUGGUUUUGUGGAGUCAGUUCUCUCCCUUUAUGUGGCUUCCAUGGAUUGUGCUCAGGUCACGAAGCUUGUACAAGCACUUUACCCAGUGAGCUACUUUGCUGGCCCCAGAUUGCAGUACUCUGAAAAUGGAGAGUGUUGUCAACCCCCCCCCCUCCACGUCUGAGGGUUUUGGGUUUUUUUGUUUGUUUGUUUGUUUUGUUUUGUUUUGUUUUUGAUAACGCAAUGGUGCAGUCCUUGAGUGUGAACUUUGUAGAUGAUAGAGCACUGAAUCACAUUAACGUCAAAAGUUUGGUCGGGCCUGAAGAUAAUUUUUUUCAAGCUUUCUCUAAUGUACUUCAUUUGUUGGUUCUCCAGUAUGCAUUUCCAGAACAGAAUUAAUAAGUUUGGUCUGCUGAGCAGCAUCCCCAUCAUUGUCAUCAACAGCAGCAGCAUCAUUGGUUUUUCGAGAAAGGAUUUCUCUAUGUAUCCCUGGCUGUCAGAACUCGCCUUGUAGACCAGGCUGGCCGUAAAUUCAGAGAUCUCCCUGCCUCUGCCUGCCAGUGCUGGGAUUAAAGGCAUGCACCUCCAUUUCCAGCUAAGGCCUUACUUUUUCAAGGCAGAGUGUUACAUAAUUUUAAUGGGCAGGAUAGAGCCAAACAAGUUACUUUCAAAAUACAGUGUAGAUAAAAAAUACUGAUUCAUCCCCAUAGGUAAGAAAGUGAGGAGGCAUGCGUUUGUAUUACCUCUUAAAGGUUUUAUGUCCUACAGUGUCAAAGACCAUAAACGAUCAUUUUUGUUUGUUUCUGCCUCGCUGACUUUUCCAUUCAUCUUUCUACCUCAGUACAGUUUUAUGGUCCCAGAACUUAAAUGAUGACUGGGUGUGAUGUUCCACACUUGUGAUCCCAGCUCUAGAGGCCGAGGUAGGAGGUUUGCCACAAAUUUGGGGUCAACCUGGGUUAUAGAGUGUAUCAUUGUCACAAAAGAACAACAUUUA